rnacentral:rRNA from 1 species
UACGUAGGGGGCUGGCGUUGUCCGGAAUCAUUGGGCGUAAAGCGCGUGUAGGCGGCCCGGUAAGUCCGCUGUGAAAGUCGGGGGCUCAACCCUCGAAAGCCGGUGGAUACUGUCGGGCUCGAGUGCGGAAGAGGCGAGUGGAAUUCCUGGUGUAGCGGUGAAAUGCGCAGAUAUCAGGAGGAACACCGAUUGCGAAGGCAGCUCGCUGGGACGUUACUGACGCUGAGACGCGAAAGCGUGGGGAGCAAACAGG